CACGUAGGGCCCGAGCGUUGUCCGGAUUUAUUGGGCGUAAAGAGUUCGUAGGCGGUUCAGCAAGUCGGGUGUGAAAACUCUGGGCUCAACCCAGAGACGCCACCCGAUACUGCUGUGACUAGAGUCCGGUAGGGGAGUGGGGAAUUCCAGGUGUAGCGGUGAAAUGCGUAGAUAUCAGGAGGAACACCGGUGGCGAAGGCGGCUUGCUGGGCCUUACCUGACGCUGAGGAGCGAAAGCGUGGGGAGCGAACAGG
rnacentral:rRNA from 1 species